rnacentral:SRP_RNA from 1 species
GCUGGGUGUGGUGGCUCACGCCUGUAAUCCCAGCACUUUGGGAGGCUGAGGCGGGUGGAUCACCUGAGGUCAGGAGUUCAAGACCAGCCUGACCAACAUGGAGAAACCCUGUCUCUA